rnacentral:rRNA from 1 species
ACGCUGGCGGCAGGCUUAACACAUGCAAGUCGAACGAAGUUAGGAAGCUUGCUUCUGAUACUUAGUGGCGGACGGGUGAGUAAUGCUUAGGAAUCUGCCUAGUAGUGGGGGAUAACUUGGGGAAACCCAAGCUAAUACCGCAUACGACCUACGGGUGAAAGGGGGCUUUUAGCUCUCGCUAUUAGAUGAGCCUAAGUCGGAUUAGCUGGUUGGUGGGGUAAAGGCCUACCAAGGCGACGAUCUGUAGCUGGUCUGAGAGGAUGAUCAGCCACACUGGGACUGAGACACGGCCCAGACUCCUACGGGAGGCAGCAGUGGGGAUAUUGGACAAUGGGCGAAAGCCUGAUCCAGCCAUGCCGCGUGUGUGAAGAAGGCCUUUUGGUUGUAAAGCACUUUAAGUGGGGAGGAAAAGCUUAUGGUUAAUACCCAUAAGCCCUGACGUUACCCACAGAAUAAGCACCGGCUAACUCUGUGCCAGCAGCCGCGGUAAUACAGAGGGUGCAAGCGUUAAUCGGAAUUACUGGGCGUAAAGCGCGCGUAGGUGGUUAUUUAAGUCAGAUGUGAAAGCCCCGGGCUUAACCUGGGAACUGCAUCUGAUACUGGAUAACUAGAGUAGGUGAGAGGGGAGUAGAAUUCCAGGUGUAGCGGUGAAAUGCGUAGAGAUCUGGAGGAAUACCGAUGGCGAAGGCAGCUCCCUGGCAUCAUACUGACACUGAGGUGCGAAAGCGUGGGUAGCAAACAGGAUUAGAUACCCUGGUAGUCCACGCCGUAAACGAUGUCUACCAGUCGUUGGGUCUUUUAAAGACUUAGUGACGCAGUUAACGCAAUAAGUAGACCGCCUGGGGAGUACGGCCGCAAGGUUAAAACUCAAAUGAAUUGACGGGGGCCCGCACAAGCGGUGGAGCAUGUG